rnacentral:rRNA from 1 species
GGCGGAUGCCUUGGCUCUCGGAGGCGAUGAAGGACGUGAUAAGCUGCGAUAAGCUCCGGGGAGGUGCAAAUAACCUUUGAUCCGGGGAUUUCCGAAUGGGACAACCCGGCGUGUUGAAGACACGCCACCUGAUCAUUUCAGGAGCUAACGCAGGGAACUGAAACAUCUUAGUACCUGCAGGAAAAGAAAAUAACAAUGAUUCCCCCAGUAGUGGCGAGCGAACGGGGAAUAGCCCAAACCGUUCAUGUUACGGCAUGAUCGGGGUUGUAGGACUACGUCGUUGCAUGAAGACAUCGGAGAAGAACUUUCUGGAAAGAAAGACCAUAGAGCAUGACAGUUGCGUAUUCGUAUGUUGUCGAAGCAUAGUAGUAUCCUGAGUAGCGCGGAGCACGAGGAAUUCUGCGUGAAUCUGCCGGGACCAUCCGGUAAGGCUAAAUACUCCCGAGAGACCGAUAGCGAACCAGUACCGUGAGGGAAAGGUGAAAAGCACUUCGAACAGAAGAGUGAAAUAGUUCCUGAAACCGUGCGCCUACAAGCGGUCGGAGCUCGUUAAUGAGUGACGGCGUGCCUUUUGCAUAAUGAACCUACGAGUUGCCUUUGCCGGCAAGGUUAAGUGUGACGACACACGUAUCCGAAGCGAAAGCGAGUCUGAAGAGGGCGUAUAGUCGGCAGUGGCAGACGCGAAACCAAGUGAUCUACCCUUGGCCAGGUUGAAGGCUGGGUAACACCAGCUGGAGGACCGCACCAAUAAGCGUUGAAAAGCUUCUGGAUGAGCUGAGGGUAGGGGUGAAAGGCUAAUCAAACUUGGAGAUAGCUCGUACUCCCCGAAAUGCAUUUAGGUGCAGCCUUGCGGGUUACUGAUGUGAGGUAGAGCGACUGAUAAGAUGCGAGGGCUUCACCGCCUAUCAAGUCUUGAUAAACUCCGAAUGCGCAGUAGUUCGAUCCCAGGAGUGAGGGCAUGGGUGCUAAGGUCCAUGUCCUAAAGGAGAAGAAUCCAGACCAUCAGCUAAGGUCCCCAAAUAAACACUAAGUUGAACUAACGAAGUCAGAUUGCUAAGACAGCUAGGAUGUUGGCUUGGAAGCAGCCAUUCAUUUAAAGAGUGCGUAACAGCUCACUAGUCGAGGAGUUUGGCGUGGAUAAUAAUCGGGCAUAAGUAUUCUACCGAAGCUUUGGGAUGAGAAAUCAUCGGUAGGGGAGCAUUCCACUCGGCGUCGAAGGUGAGGCGCGAGCUUUGCUGGAGCGUGUGGAAAAGCAAAUGUAGGUAUAAGUAACGAUAAAGGGGGUGGGAAACCCCCUCGCCGAAAGACUAAGGUUUCCUGAUCAACGCUAAUCGGAUCAGGGUAAGUCGGGUCCUAAGGCUCAGCCGAACGGCGAGGCCGAUGGCAGAACCGGUUAAUAUUCCGGUACUACCUGUGGGAGUGACGUGGAGACGGAGUCGUGACAGCGCCGCGGACUGACGGAAUAGUCCGUUGAAGGGUGUAGAUGCUGAUUGUUCCAGGCAAAUCCGGAGCAAGAGUCGAACCUGAUAGUAUGGAGCGUUCUUAGAACAAUCCAAUAGUGCGUGUAAUCAUACUUCCAAGAAAAUCCGCUAAACUUAAUCCUGCAGGUACCCGUACCGCAAACGGACACACGUAGUCGGGUUGAAUAUACUAAGGCGCUUGAGUGAUUCACGGUUAAGGAACUAGGCAAACUGACCCUGUAACUUCGGGAUAAAGGGUCCCUACCCGGUGACGGGAGGGCGCAGAGAAUAGGUCCAGGCAACUGUUUAACAAAAACACAGGGCUGUGCUAAAUUGAAAGAUUACGUAUACAGCCUGACACCUGCCCGGUGCUGGAAGGUUAAGAGGAGAUGUCAUCGCAAGAGAAGCGUUGAAUUGAAGCCCCAGUAAACGGCGGCCGUAACUAUAACGGUCCUAAGGUAGCGAAAUUCCUUGUCGGGUAAGUUCCGACCUGCACGAAUGGUGUAAUGAUCUGGACACUGUCUCAACCGUGAGCUCGGUGAAAUUGUAGUAUCGGUGAAGAUGCCGAUUACCCGCGAUGGGACGAAAAGACCCCGUGAACCUUUACUAUAGCUUA